UUACCAGCUUGACAUAAAAGAGAUCCUUCGGGGACAGGUGGUGCAUGGCUGUCGUCAGCUCGUGUCGUGAGAUGUUGGGUUAAGUCCCGCAACGAGCGCAACCCUGUCUAUGUUGCCAGCAUAUGGGACUCGUAGAGACUGCCGGGGUCAAUCGGAGGAAGGCGGGGAUGAGGUCAAGUCAUCAUGCCCCUUAUGCUGGGCUGCAAACAUGCUACAAUGGGGUACACGGGGCACCGUGAGGCGAGCAAUCCCUAAACCUUCUCAGUUCGGAUCGAAGUCUGCAACUCGACUUCGUGAAGUUGGAGUCGCUAGUAAUCCCGAUCAGCUUGCGGGGUGAAUACGUUCCCGGUCCUUGUACACACCGCCCGUCACACCACGAAAGUUGGAAACCGAA
rnacentral:rRNA from 1 species